rnacentral:rRNA from 1 species
UGUAGUCUGCAACCGACUACAUGAAGCUGGAAUCGCUAGUAAUCGCGGAUCAGAAUGCCGCGGUGAAUACGUUCCCGGGUCUUGUACACACCGCCCGUCACACCAUGGGAGCCGGGAAUGCCCGAAGUCGGUGACCUAACCUGAAAAGGGAGGAGCCGCCGAAGGCAGGUCUGGUAACUGGGGUGAAGUCGUAACAAGGUAAC